CAGUCGUACCGGCGGAUAAUCAGCCUUUCGGGUGCGAUUCUGUGGGGCGUGAGGAGCUUAACCGCCUUUCAUGUUUUGCAUAUUCGUGCACAUUUGGUGUACUUGUCCGUGUGGUGGGUUAACAUCAACUUCGGUCGUCAUAAAAUGAUUGGAGGAAUGUAGCUUUAGAUACUUCGUAUCGAAGUGUUAUAGACUCUGGUAGAUGUGACGAUUGGGAUUGAGGUAUUGACAACGGAUACCCUUCGGGGCUACCCGUCUGAUC
rnacentral:rRNA from 1 species